rnacentral:rRNA from 1 species
UACGUAGGGUCCGAGCGUUGUCCGGAAUUACUGGGCGUAAAGAGCUCGUAGGUGGUUUGUCGCGUUGUUCGUGAAAACUCACAGCUUAACUGUGGGCGUGCGGGCGAUACGGGCAGACUGGAGUACUGCAGGGGAGACUGGAAUUCCUGGUGUAGCGGUGGAAUGCGCAGAUAUCAGGAGGAACACCGGUGGCGAAGGCGGGGUCUCUGGGGCAGUAACUGACGCUGAGGAGCGAAAAGCGUGGGGGAGCGAACAGG